AGGUCAUUCGCUCCUAAUUGGGCCACCCACCGUAUAUAAUCUCUCCCAAACGUUUCAUAAUUAAAUCACCACCAUCAUCACUCAACCACACAUCAUGGGGAGCAUUGUUAACAAUAUCCCAAACUGUGCGCUGAGUUAACUUACUUAGCUGUCGCUGUUCAUCUGGCCACUUUUUGAAACGCUUCAUGCUUUUUCCUGCACUAAUAACGCUAACAGGAAGAUCUUUGGGUAACACAGAUUGAGCCGACUGUAACUCAUAUCUAGAGAAACUAGGGCCGGUAAGCGAUUCUUCAAUUUUACUCUUAACCCAACGAUCCGAGGUCCAUGAAUACAUGCCGUACACUCGGUCUUGACGAGUUUUGCCCAUAAAGAUUGAACCAAAAAUACGGUUGAUCCCCAAAGGUGAAAGCCAACCGCGAACAAAAAGAAGAAAGCGGGAUAGGAACUGACCGGAAUCCUUCAAGGUCUGAACAGACCCAGCAUCAACGAACACUAUUCCUUUCACCUCAGAUAGAUGGCGAGCGGCAAAUACAUUGGAGUAAACACCGCCGAUUCCAUGAGCGACAAGCACAUACGGACCGCUGACAUCUGCUUGAGCAAGUGCUUCCGUUAGCAAAUCCAUGACAAUUCCAACGGAGGAUGGAGAACCAAUAUUGUCGGACCAUCCCAUUCCUGGGCGAUCCCAAACACAAACACGUGUAUCAGGUGAAAGGUAAGGCUUAACAUCAUUUUCAUAACCUUCGAAAUCCUUACUUUCCUCAUAAAGAUCAGGAGAGGUAUGUUGAAGAUUUAAGAGCCAUUCUUUGAAAGGAUGAACUGAAACCUCACCACCCUCUACUAAAACAGUUGUUUUGUUGUUGGAAGAAGAACUUCCAAAGCAUUCCAAAUGGACUCUUGCUUUACUAUCGGUAACGGUAUACAACUGACCAGGAGCAGAAAGGGCUCCAUCGUAAGCACGCAUAAUGAGUGUGACGAGAGUGUGGAUGGUCAGGAUGGUCAAAAUGACGGAUAAUAUCGUAGAGGCAGUAAGACUGCCAACUUGUCUCCAAGGCCACGUUGAUGGGGACCAAGACCAAUAAUACCCACGGUGUGCAAUUGCAUCGUAGUCCGGAUGUUCCUCCUUGUAUUGGCGGAAAAGCAUAAGAUCAGUAAUCACAAUCCAUAGGCUCAUUAAGAAAGCCCAAAGAACGAAAGCGUUGCUUCGCCAUCCUUCUCUAUGACGAAGAAUUGGGCUAAGAAAAACGACUAAAACAUCGAUGGCUAAAAGGAAACAAAUGAUUCGUUGUGUAACUCUUUCGGGCGCAUUUGGUGAGUAUACAAACAUAAUUUGCAUGGCUAGUAAAAUGGCAGCUAGCGCGGUGAAGCCAACGGGCAUAAAACCCGGAGAUAAAUGGCUAAUAAUCGGGAUGGAGAUGAAAAUAUUAAGAAGUAAAAAUAGAUGGCAUAUUAUAGUAAUUAACAGUAAUCCAACCGAGGUGCUACGAAUCCAAUAAAAGAGAGGUGUCAAAGCAUACGUAUCAGUGUUUUCAGGAACAUUGCCUCUAUGCGAUCCCAGAAACCUGGGCAGCAGAGCCGAUCUUUCGUUAGCAGCUUCUGCGUUCACGUCUUGAGAAGUAUUCAUGGUUCUCUACGUUAAUUUUUCUUUACUCGGUAACCAAAUGGGGAUGGUUCUGAAGUAAGAUGGUUCUUUUUAAAGAUAAAUAGAAAGGAAAGAAAAGAAAAAGAAACGUUCUUCACUAGAAACAGUGGAUCACGGGAAUUUGAGUAGAAGGGAAUAAAGAAACGAAACGAAACGAAAACUAUAUGGAUUUAUAAUUAGAGUAACGGCGUAAACAAGAUGGACUGUUGUUUUUAAAUCCCAGCAAAAAUAUAUAUAAUCACAACAGAGAAAUCGAUU